AAUAUUUUUUAUCAAAACUCACUCUAGUGGUGAAACUGAAAAAAAUUAAGCAUUAAAAAUUACGAUUUGACCUUCUGUCAAAGUCUGUUCCUCAGGGUAAGGGGGGGGGGUGGAGAAAGCAAUGAAUAGCUUACAAGUUUCACAUAUUUAACCUUCAAUAUAAUUUAAUCUUUUUUUAUUAUCAUAAUUUUAUUUAAUACACAUCAGCAAUUAAUAAAGUUUCAGAAAGGAUAAAGCGAAAGGGAGGACCACUCGGUAGGAUUUUAUUGGUAACCGAAAAAAUAAUUCAGACAGCCCGGACCAAGAAUCGAACCCAGAUCUUUUACUUGUUGUUUGAUGAGACCUAAUGGGAAAUUAAUGAAUGCGAAAUUGUUUAAUUCAAGACUUAGUUAUAAAAAAUUGAAGCAUGGAAGAAAGUUUUUGCCAACGUCAUGAAUAUUGUUCAAGGAAUAAUAUCAUUCGUGAUAAUUCAAUCCCAAAUUUGUGAUAUUAUUAACGGCAAGUAGAAUGGAGCAGCUGACAGUUUUCCUAGAACAGGAUUUACUUACAAUGUAAGUAUGAGACAGUACUAUAAAUUUAUGAUAAAGUCACUCCAAAUUGAAGGAUUCCUUCCUUUACUUUGUGAUGACAAUUACAUUCAAUCAUAAGCAGUUGAUGCAAAACUCCAGUAUGAAGUACUUUAACUACAGUCCGUUUCAUUGAUUAUAACCAACUACUGACUAUGUUUCAAUUUAUCAUUUAUAUCAAUUUUUUGAUAAUGCGUUUACAUCUAAACAAUCAGCACGGAGGUCUGCCAGAACUGUAAGUACAACGGAAGUGGCCAAAAUUCGCGAAGCCAAAAAUUUGUUGCCGUGAACACUUAAUUGCAAUUCUGUACGGUAUUAAAUUAAACCAAAAAGAAUAAAUGGUAAUCACGAUCAUACUGUAAUUAAUGAACUUGUAGAAACUUCCCAAGCGUCACAAAAAAAAAAUGUUAACUUUUUUGUAGAUUUCACUCAACAAGAACUUAAAAAAUUAAUAAUCGUCAACUUAAAUUCAACAAAACAUUCACGAAACAAAAUUUAUGCCACUUGGGUUAUA
rnacentral:lncRNA from 1 species